AGCAUGCGCGCAGCUGUAUGGGAUUCUUGACGGAUGCUUCCCUCUGAAACUCGCUCGUGUUCGGCAGCUGGCAAAUCCGGCGGUCUAAAGCGCCCCCACGGCGGUUCCGUUCACUGAUAACCGCCUAGAGGCGGCGGCGGCUGUCCUGCUCUGCCAUUGAUGUUAUAUCUUCCUUUGGUUAACAUCAAAUCUCAGCCAAGUUUCACAGCCUUCUGUACUCUUUUCGUUCGGGGUUCUCAAAUAAAAUCGCACUUCGAUUUUGGUGCUUGGCAGCGUCUUCGAAUUGGUGCAAUUCCGUAAUCUUUCUGUUUGUGGAGCUGUACAGGGAGUUGAAGUGUCGGUAGAGAAGGAUUGGAGGCGUGGACCGGCCAAUCUGAAUAAAAUCCAAGUAUGAGAACGGGGAAAAGCAAUCAGGAAGAUGAAGAGUAUGAGGACGACGAGAUGGUUGCUAAACGAGAGGGGCCUUCUUCUACUUCCAACGCUAAUAGUAGCAUCGGAAAUAGCAAAGAUGCGAAGAACAACGAUAGGGCUAAUGCCAUACGGUCGAAGCACUCUGUCACCGAGCAGCGUAGAAGAAGCAAGAUAAAUGAGAGAUUCCAGAUUUUGAGAGAUCUUAUACCUCACAGCGAUCAGAAGAGAGAUACCGCGUCAUUUUUAUUGGAGGUGAUCGAGUAUGUUCAGUAUUUACAGGAGAAGGUGCAGAAGUACGAGGGUUCUUAUCAGAAUUGGAGUGGGGAGCCUACUAAGCUAAUACCAUGGAGAAAUACUCAUUGGCGUAUGCAGACUUUUGUUGGUCAUCCACAGUCUGUAAAAAAUGGUUCUGCUUCAGGACCAACGUAUUCAGGGAAGUUUGAUGACAACAACAUUUCAAUUUCCCCAGCCAUGCUUGCAAGCUCACAAAAUCCCCUCGACUCCCAUUCAGGCAGAGAUGUUCUGCAGGAUGCUGACAUAACAAAUAAAGUUCCACUUCCCAUGUCUCUGGAAGGAAAUAUACAUGCUUCUAUCCGUAGUGACGGUGUUCUAGAUCAAUCUCUCCAGAUUCCAAUUUCCGGUGGACAGGCAACGGAGUGUCCCAUCGCCAACAAUGCAUCAAGCCAACCAGAAGAGAUGGCUAUUGAAGGGGGUACAAUAAGCAUUUCAAGUCUUUAUUCAGAAGGGUCAGUUCAUAUAGGAUGUCUGAAUAGUUGCUUUUGGAGGCGUUCAUUUGCAUGGUCUCUUCCUAGGAUUUGGUAACAGCUCCGGAACUUGGUGCUAAGCAGGUUAUUGAACAGCUUGACUCAAGCUCUGCAGAAUACUGGACUGGAUUUGUCACAGGCUAGUGUCUCCAUUCAGGUUGAUCUUGGAAAGAGAGCAAAUAAAGGUCCCCCAUUUGGAAUGCCCAUUUUUAAGGAAACUGGCAACCCUUCCUCCUCCGGCCACCCUGCAAUGGCACACGUAGGGGACCUGGGUAGUGGAGAUGACUCAGAACAAGUGAAAAAGCGGCUAAGAACAUGACGAUCUGGCAACUCGAGUCCCCGGUUUAUUACACCGCACAGUUACUGUUUUUAUUGUGAAUCUCUGAAUGUGAUGUCUAUUGUACAGAUCCUCUUUUCUUUAUCUUGCUUGGCAUUUUACACAAUUUCUUCAAGCUCAUAUUGCUAUAACCAUCAGUGUUAGGAAAUCCAAGUUAAAAUUUGGUACUCAGUUCCAAAUUCUCCAGUUUCCAUCGCUCUGUAUUCUAUGUUUGUAGUUGUAUCACAAUAUAAAUGGGAACCUCUCAAACAGAGCUUUAAAGAGGGCGUUUUAUUUCCACUUUACUA